rnacentral:SRP_RNA from 1 species
GGCCGGUCCCCUAGGUGACGACAGGUUGUGAACCCGGUCAGGUCCGGAAGGAAGCAGCCGCAGCAACCAGUUCGGGUGCUUAGGUCAGGCUGACUGGA